AGAAACUGCAGGGGGUACGUGAAGCUUUUCAAAAUAUCUUUAAAAAAUCAGUAGGCUCCUCAUAAUAAGUCUUGGGAAAAAUUAUUUUGUAAAAAGUUCGAUAAAAUAUAAAUGUGUGUUCAUGCACUGAAUUUUAUAUUCAGUAUUUAGUUUCAAUAUCCUUUAAAAUAAAACGGACCCCCCCACCAAGUUAGUUUGACCCACGGACCCAGGGCACUCGUCAACGACCUGUCGUUAUCAUGAUUACACUGUAACUAUGGAGACGUGGCUAAAGCGUAGUAGCAAUGCUGCUGAAAGUACAGAUAAAGUGAAAAAGAAGGCAAAACCAGAGCCGACGAAGUACAGAACGUACAUGGAAAAGUAUGUUUUAAUGGGAUUUACGUCCACGAUCUCUGACCCCCCCCCCAGGCACUGUGUUUUAUUUGUGGGGAGAAAUUAGCCAACGCUAGCAUGAAGCCGGAACACCUCCAGCGGCAUCUCACCACAAAACAUGGAUGUCACGUUGGUAAGCCACCGGAGUUCUUCAGGAGAAAACUUUCUGAGUUCAAGUCAUCCCAAGCCACAAUGCGAAAAGCCUCCACUACAUCAGCCAAAGCCCUGGAGGCUUCUUACGCGGUGUCUUUGCUCGUUGCUAAAGCCAAAAAACCGUUCACCAUAGCGGAAGACCUACUGCUCCCCGCUGCUGUUGUAUUGGUGGAAACUAUGCUGGACAAAAAAUCAGCGGAUACAUUAAAAACUGUGCCUCUGUCUAAUGACACCGUUUGCCGCAGAAUAAAUAACAUGGGCACAGACAUUGUCGAACAAGUUGUGGGGAAACUUGGCGACUCAUUUUCACUGCAGCUGGAUGAAUCCACAGAUGUGAAUGGAAAUGCGCAACUUGUUGCAUUUGUAAGAUACAUUGACACGGACGACAUCUGUGAACACAUCCUAUUCUGCAAAGAAAUGGAGGGGCGAACAUAUUUAUGUGA